GGCACUUCCAAAAAAUCAUCUUUGGUUUUGCCGCUGAAAAUAAAGGGUAAAAGUUCAAUACAUGGUGACAAUAUGAUUGGGGUUGAGUCCAAACUUGACAUGUGGCUAAUCCAAUGGCUUUGGUAGUAUCCAUUCAGUGGUUGGGUUGACCUGGUCUACCUAUGUACCUUUUGGCUUAAAAUGAACAAUGAAGAAAGCCUUCACAAAAUGCUGUGUCCCUCAUUGUCCUUCCAACCUGUUGAUGAUCACUUUCGCUCAUUGUUAGGGUUUGCUAGAUCUCUGACUAUCCAGAGCAUGAGAACAUUAGGGAUUGUUCAUUGAAGAUGUCAUAUGUGUUGGUUUUUUUGGGUAAAACCUCUACUUUGGCAUUGCUGCUGUGCAUAUGAAAAGUUUGUUACAUGGUCUCUUUCUGUUCAAGGAACAAAAUUAUUAGGAGGCUGAACAAUUUUGGAAGAUUGGUAUUUUGACUGCUUUAUGAAGAUUCACAAUUUGUUUCCUUGAAGCAUAUUUUUCAUAUUAUUGGUUUUGAAGUUACCUUGUGUAUUUUGGGGUAUAGUUGAAGACUCUUUUAGGUGGCU